rnacentral:rRNA from 1 species
AGAGUUUGAUCAUGGCUCAGAAUGAACGUUGGCGGCGUGGAUUAGGCAUGCAAGUCGCACGAGAACCCGCAAGGGGGGACAGUGGCAAACGGCGUAGUAAGGCGUAGGUGACGUACCCCGAGGACCGGGAUAGCCACGGGAAACUGUGGGUAAUACCGGAUAAUUCCCCUCUUCUUGAAAAGGAGGGGCAAAGGUGAGAGUCCGUCUUGGGAGCGGCUUACGUAGUAUUAGCUAGUUGGUGAGGUGACGGCUCACCAAGGCGAUGAUGCUUAGGGGGUGUUAGCGCAUGACCCCCACGACUGGGACUGAGAUACUGCCCAGACACCUACGGGUGGCUGCAGUCGAGAAUCUUCGGCAAUGGGCGCAAGCCUGACCGAGCGACGCCGCGUGCGGGAUGAAGGCCCUUGGGUUGUAAACCGCUGUCAGAGGGGAUGAAAUGUAUGUGGGCACUCCCAUGUAUUUGACAUAGCCUCAGAGGAAGCACGGGCUAAGUUCGUG